AACGCGAAGAACCUUACCAAGGCUUGACAUAUGCCGGAAAGCCGUAGAGAUACGGUCCCCCUUGUGGUCGGUAUACAGGUGGUGCAUGGUUGUCGUCAGCUCGUGUCGUGAGAUGUUGGGUUAAGUCCCGCAACGAGCGCAACCCUCGUUCUGUGUUGCCAGCGGGUUAUGCCGGGGACUCACAGGAGACUGCCGGGGUCAACUCGGAGGAAGGUGGGGACGACGUCAAAUCAUCAUGCCCCUUAUGUCUUGGGCUGCACACGUGCUACAAUGGCCGGUACAAUGAGCUGCGAUACCGCGAGGUGGAGCGAAUCUCAAAAAGCCGGUCUCAGUUCGGAUUGGGGUCUGCAACUCGACCCCAUGAAGUCGGAGUUGCUAGUAAUCGCAGAUCAGCAUUGCUGCGGUGAAUACGUUCCCGGGCCUUGUACACACCGUAGUAC
rnacentral:rRNA from 1 species